rnacentral:misc_RNA from 1 species
AAAGUCGUAACAAGGUUUCCGUAGGUGAACCUGCGGAAGGAUCAUUAGAAAAACUUGGGGAUUUAUUUCCGAUACCCAUUCUGUGCACUGUUUAAAUCUUAAACUUUCCUGGUUGUUUAAGCUGGAGGACCCUUGGUCUGAAAGCUUUUGAGUGUUAGAGUUGGCCUGAAGUCAGGUUGAUUCCUAUACUAGGCCAGGAAGGUAAAUUUCAAACCCCACUUUAACCUCAAAGUCUGAUUUAAUAUCUGUUCACUCAGAUACUAGUAAAAUGAAAUACAACUUUCAACAAUGGAUCUCUUGGCUCUC